GUCAAAAGCUACAGAGGCUGACUAUGCAUGACCUGGGAAAAGUAAAAAGAACUCACCAAACGCUCUUCCAGAGAUCCCUGAGGAACCUGGGCUCCGAGCGCUUAUGAGACUUGCCAAAUAGAAGAACUAAUGAAAAGAAGGGGAGCUUCAAAUUUGGGUUGGACUCCAAACCUACAUUCUUGAGCAUGCUGUGCCGAUGACGAAGCAAACCUCGCUGUAUUCACCAGGUUGGCAGCCAGAAAGCUGACGGAAACCGGGAUGUUUUCAGCCUCUUUACAGGAAGCCAGCAUCCCUCAUUCCAGAGCCACAGAAAUAUGCUGAUGUAUGCUCCUGUCAGCUUAUUACAGCGGUCCUUAGCCCCAGGUGCUGUCUGGGCUGACAGGGGCCACUCUGUCAAGAUGAGGAUAUGUUUUUCCCCUCAAGAGUGAUCGUUCCCUGGGGAGUGAGCAGGCCAGCAUUGCCACGGUCCAGCGGACGCUGACCUACUCUUGCGCAGAGCUGCUCUUAGGGGUUGUCGGCAGGCUGACAGAACGAAGUCAGUGCUACUACCAUCUGCAUUUUUCACAGUUGAGGAAGCUGCCCAAGUUCUUGCAGCUAUUAGGUGGCAAAGCAAGACAGGCCUUUGUGCAGUGCUUGGCUCAGACACUGUGGGAAGAAGAAAAGGAAGAGCUGGAAGCUCAUUGUGAAGAUUUCGGCUUUUCUGAAUGUAACAGGCAGAGCUCCAAAGAGGGUCCUCAAAAAUCCCACCUCCUAGUAGCCAUGCCUUGUGUGAUUUCUCCCCUCCAGGGUGGGCAGAGUCACUGACCUAAACUGUGUUUGGAUUCCUGACCCGUAGAAACUGUCAGAUAAUAAAUGCUUGU